GGAGUAAUGCCGAUAGCUCCGUCAUGACUUAUCGGCUACUAAGCGCAAAAGCGUGUCGGUUUGCUUUUGCGUAAGGGAAUGUAGAUAACCGACUGCGCUCGGAGAUGCCGACUCGGAUAGGCUUUUGGACAGGGGUUCGACUCCCCUCGGCUCCACCA
rnacentral:tmRNA from 1 species